UUGGUUCAGCUCACUGAGAAAAGAAGGCCACAGGUUUUGACACACAUUUUAAUCCACCUCUUAUAGAAAGAGUUUUACACAUCAAAGUCUGCUCACAUGUUUUGGAGACUAUGAGUGCAGAUGUGAAAUGAAGUGUGUAAAGCCUUAUGGCUUCAGAACGACUUCGUUCUUCGGUCCGAACCCGUCCGAAUCCAAAUGAACCAAUUUUUUCCAAAGGCCCGUCAGGCUCGGCCAAAGAUCUUCAGCUGUGUGCAACUGCAUGAGGGUUGCAUCUUAGUUUGGAAACGCGUGGAGAAACCAUAUGAGCAGAUCUUUUGCGCCACCUUGUGGCAGCGACACAAAGCACCACCAUGCAGGUGCCCGAACCAGUUUCACUUUCUGUUGUGCUGAAUUGAAACGAUAAACUAAAGUUAGAAACUCCAGAUUAAACUUCUGCUGUUGUUAUCCAAAGAUUUCCAUCCAUGGAUAAGAAGGAAGCAACGCGCACAUGCGGACAGUGAGUGACACAAGGAAUGUGCAAUUUGGAUGACUGAAAGGCCCUCUCUGGAGUCAGUGUUUGGUUUGUCUGUUCUGGGCUUCUGAAGAGACAUGAAACAGUUUCCCACAGUCUGUCCAAGACCUGACGAGGAGAGAAAGAUCCCUGUAAGGCUCCUGACCUGGUCUCUGUCGGCAGCAGCUCUCAGCUCUUUGCCCUCCCUCAGCAGGUUAUUGUUUUCUGUCUGCUGCCUCUGAAGGGUCGCACGAACACCCUGAAUACAAAACACACGUGCGAUAUUCACAGACAGAAAAACAACAUAACAUUAACAGAUGCACAUACAUAAGAGAAUUUAAUGUAGACAAUUUCAUUCACUGAUCUGUCUCCACUCUCUCUACUUACUUUCAGUUCAGUUUUCAACUCAGACACAAGGGAGUCCUUCAUCGCUGUAAAAAUCAAACAGAAAGAUGCAGUUUAACAUACAAACAUCACAUGCAGCACUGGGAAAUAAAAGUAAAAAACAUAAAUGUGUAUUUGUGAAGUAGCUGACAAACAUUAUCAUUAAGAUCACAUUGAAAACUACAGUACACUGUCCUAAUGUCAUGUCACUCAUUGUUUCACUGUUUUAUUUUGUCUUUUUAAAUUAAAUUUAGAUCUAAAUUUUAUUUAAAUCUAAUUAAAAAAUUUUUUUUCUACUUUUUGUAUUCAUUGUGCAGCUUCUCACCUCAGAAUUUCCCUACACACAGUGUAUGAAUGUAUGAAAAGAAAUCUCAGCCUUUACACUGCAAUUUGCAAGGCAGGCUUUUGGGGAAAGCUGACAGCACUCUGUCACAGUCUGUGUGUCUGUCAAUCAAACAUAACUGCAGCUGGGGAUCACAGGGAAACAGCAAACCUGGCUCUGUUCAGAGUUUAAAAUAUAAAUUAGCCUACCAACAUUUGUAAAGCUGAGUAAAAUCACUGAGACUUAGACUUUUGGUCAGACAUAGUAAGCAACUUGGAAGAUGUCACCAUGGCGCUGAGAAACCGUGGUAGACAUCUUUCACUAUUUUCUAGUUGUGGUCACUGUGUGAUUCAGGAUACAUAAUAUGAGCUCAGAACAACUAUCAGGCUGAUGAGAGAGACUCUGACUACACCGCAUUGCAAGUGACCAAAAGAAUUCAGAAUCAUUUCUGGACUUGGCUGGCAACUAGUCAGAUAUACUGUUACUUGUACUUUGUUUUUAAAAACCCAGCAACAGCAGGGUCAUAGCACAGCCAUGGCUGACUGGUUUUGUAUCCCUUGAUCCACUAACCUGUCUGUUCUUUGAACAGCUGACAGUGACCCUCCAGCUGUCCGCCUCUGUCUCUCUCUUCCUCCAGUUGCUGGCGGCCUGUCUGGACCUCCACACGCAAGGCCCGGCAAUCCGACUGCAGCAACAAAGCCUGGGAGGCCAGAGUCAGACAACAAGUCAGCUGCUGUUUACACAUGAUCAUCAUCCACCACCUGUCUUACAAUGUACCUGUUUCCUCUCCACCUCCAUCACUCUCUCCAUCUCCUCGGCCCGCUGGAGGAGUUCGCUGUAAGAUUUCAUGGCUUCAACAGAGAGGGCAGACUCCUGCCUCAUCUGUUCUUUCAUCUGAUCCCAAGAAAGCUUUGUUGAGAUGGUUCAAUUUCAGUUGGUCCUGGCUUAUUAAAUGCAUGUCUGCAUGCCUGUGGGCAAAUGGGGAUAAAAUGGCUAAUAAAAAAGUCUAAAUGAAAAUAAUUAUUCACUCACCUCCAGCAGUUUGUGGCACAUCUCUGAUUUGAAAACCUUUAGCUCCUCGGCAGCCAAAGCCACAUUUAUCUAGAGUGGAAGACAAAAAGGGAAUAAUCACAACCCAUGACAUAAUAAUAAUUGUUUUGGGUUUUUUUUAAUCAAUUUGAAAUACCCAGAUUGUUUUUUAAAAAAUAAACCCGUAUAUUUAAAAAGAUCUUCACACAGAUUUUACAUCCCCUUGCACUUUUUCACACUUGUUGUGCAUUAGUGUUUUCAUCUGUAUUCCAAAAUAACAGACAUUAAAUCCCCAGAUUUUUUUUGUUUUUUCUCAUUUUUACAGUCCCCUUGUAUUGAAAACACAAUAUAUUUUGUGAAUAUAUUUACAAAAUCAAAUGCUGUCCCCAGCACCAUCAUCUAUCACUGAUUAAAGGAAUAGUUCUAAAAUUAGCUCACAUUAUAAAAAAAACCUCACAUUAUACAUUAAAACUCACAUAUUAGUUUUUUUUUAAUCCAUACAAAUAUCUAAUUGUUAAGGUUGUGGUUUUCUAGAGGAUUAUGUGCUGCAGUACUCCUUGUCAAGGUGAAGGCAACUAGAGGAGACUCCAGGAAGUCACUGCUCCUGGCUAAUAGAUCCCCCUGUUUAAUGUCUUUAUGAUAAGCUAAGCUAUCCAGCAGGUGGGUCUGAGUACAUUUUCAGCAUUCUGACCCAGAACACAGUAGAGGCCAGAAAGAGACCUCUGAAAGACAGACCUUCAGCAGUUUAUGAAAUGUGUUAAAUCAUCUGAAGGUACACUUGUACGUGAAAAUGGGGAGUAAAAUGUCAACAUUAACAAGAAGAAUGAUGGACAAAACUAUAACGCCACAAGAUAUAAUAUGUAAACAUAAUAUAAUAAUAUAAGUGAAUCACACCCUGGCAGCAGUAGCAGUCUGCACUGUGUCCUCCAGCCUCUGCACCUGUGCAAGAGCUUCAUCUCUCUCCUGGUAAGCCUGCUGAAGGUGGUCCUGGAGCUUCACCAGAUACAAAUUCCUACAUCCAUUGCAAGUCACUACUUUUUCUGGCGUAUGAUCCAAUUUUAAGAACCAAUAUUUUAAUAUAUGAGGAUCACUGCUCGCCAUUAUUCCAUAUGUUGAGCUCGAUAACUUGCAAAUUAUGUCAGACCAGGCAUUGUUUAAAAAGUGAUAAGUAAAACCUAAAGAUUAAUUCUGAAUUAAUAUACUGUCUAUUGCAUUGUGUAGGACUACAGAUAGAUUGCUGGUACUAAUCACUAUACUGUAUGUCUUUUUGCAGAGAGGAUAUUGCAUUAGUCGUUUUAAUAAAGGAUUUGCUACUG